CAGAUGUCUUUCACCUGCAACUCACAAGUAUCGUAAAAUGGCUGGACACAACUCUCUCAUCGCCUUGGGAUACAGCAGUCCCCUGUCUUGAGUUACAGAUGCCCAAAUGAACCCAACAGACUUCCAGUCCCUAUAUUUCUAUUUUAUACAUCACAAGAUAUGAGCAGAAUAAGUAGGCAAAGUUUCCUUGUCAAGUAAGGUAAAAAUCAAUGUGCUGGGUGAGAUAAAUUAAACAAAAGAAAGGUUGAAAAUAAUUCUUCCCAUUGACUCUUGUGUCUGCACAGGCAGAUCUGCCUCAGACCUUCUGCUACAGUCCUUCUCACUCUGCUCAGCCUGUGUGGUCACAUCUGGGGACUUCUCUGCUGUCCAGGAGUUGUGCUGGGCUUAAGACUACAAGUCUUCCUCAUGAAGCAUUACUGUUGCUCUAGCAGGAUGUAAGAUGUAGCUCCGUAUGGCAAAAUGGCGCCAAAUAUUAUAACAUGUUGCAUAUGUUCAUGUAUUUCAGAGUUUAGAAGUGUAUAUAAUUCACCACACAGCUUGAAUUUUAGACUAGUGGAUGUACUUUUUAUAGCUGAAUUAACUUCUUGCAACGAUUUAGCUUUUUUUCCCCUUUUUCCCUCAAACAAUUUUUACCUCAUUUAUUGCCAGCCUUGGAAGGCACUUUCUGCUUAUAAACCAGUCUCUUCAACUGUGUAACACCAAAUUUGAGCAGCACUUAAAGUGCUGUUAAAGAUUCCUCUGCUACCUCUGGAGAGUAACUUAUUCUCUUUGCUGCUCUUGGAAUUUCUAGAUAAUGCUCAGCAACCCACUUGGGCAACAUUCUAUAUGUUGGUCACUAAUUGUCUGUUUCAUGUUUUCAUGAAACAUCUGGGAUCUGAGCUGAAGAAAGACUGAGCAUUGAUUGCAGCAGGCUGUAGCUGGAUGGUGAAUGCAUCAAGUGCUCUAAAAUACCCAUAAAAAUUACUUGAAAAAUUAGGUUCUUUCUAGGUUCUGCUUCCUGCAUUCAUUAUUGCUUGGAAAUUAGGUAAAUUGCUGCUAUGUUGAAAAAUACCACUUAUUCCAUAUAGCAUUGAUGGCAGUGCAUAUUUUCUCAUCCACUGCCUUGUGUUCUAGAAAUUGGGUUGCUUCCCAAUUUAAUGAAUUCUGACUGGAGAAUAGAAAUGAUAAUGAAUACGGGUUUUAACGUCCAGAAGGUGUACAAACUAACCUAGAAACCUGACAAAGCAGCUCCUCCCUCCAAAAUGUUUUGUGGUCUUGGAAGUAAAGGCAGCACCACUCUUUUCAGGACUAUGGGAUCUGAGUACUUGGGUGGAUUUCCCUAUGACUGUUAAAAUGAUGCCUGUCA